UAUGAGAACACUAAGCUCAGUAACAACAGCAACAACAACCAAAAGAUCACUUUUAGUUUCCAGUUUCACUAAAAUACCUUUUCUGCUCUCUAUGUCCAUCCUGUGCCCUUCAAUAUGUAGUUAAUUAUAUCUUUUGCUACUGAAAGAUGCCACGUUGGUACAGAUUCACAGAAUUGAGUUUUAGAUCAUCUAAAUCUAUCAGACUCCUGGAGAUGCCUGGAUUCUGCAAGUUGUUUAAGAGAGAAUUGCUGUGGUCAACCAACCUCUCCCUAAUCCAAAAGGAUGAGAAAGAAAGAAUAUUCUAGUGAUGCUGCAUGACUGCGAAACAUACAAGCAAAGCCAGAAGAAAUGCACAAGGAAUCAGAAUCUACUAGAUUUCUAGGGAUACUUCAUAAAGACAUUGAAAAGUGCGUGUGGUGCAGCUCAACAUUUAAGAAGUUCUAUGCGGACCUGUAGAUAUCCUGUAUGUCAAAGAAGAACUCCAGAGAUCUAAGUGCAUUGUAACCCAAAACAGCAAUGAGUGAGCUAAAAAUGAGUAAAGAGUGACACAUUUAAUUUGAAGCCCUGUUGUGCAGUGCCACUGAACCAACUGCUGCAAACAACAGGUCUGGCACUUGGGUCCUUCAGAUAUCCAAGAUCUGCCUACCUACUCAAUGAGGCCCAAGACAUGUUCAAAUCAGAGAAAAAUGUGACAUUUAAACAUAUGAAUGGCAUAAUAAAACCUGCUAUUGCACCACUAGGAUGCUUGUUUUCUGUUACUAAUAACCAGCUCAACCUGUAUAUUUGUAGAGUUACAUGCCCUCCUAGAUCUUAAUAUAACUUGUCCCAUUCAGAUAGGAAUCAGCCAGUUGCUUUUUUCAUUAUUCUCUCCUGAAACAAAACUUCACUGCAGAGACAUGAACGUUAUAGUCUCAAGGUUAGUAUAAACAUGCGAAGUCAGACUUCAGUCAACUGACCCAAUGGGAAAUCGCUAUUGGGAUAGUUCUCUCUCUGGAAGACGGAUCAGGAAAUACUGUACCCUUGUUCUGCUCUUUAUUCUUCUCUAAGGAUUCUGUUCACUGCUCCUAAAGAAAAUAUAUUGAGCUAUAUGGAUAAAGGGUACUGAAAGCACAUCAACAGUCUUCUCUCUUUAAUAACUUUGUUUUCUUGCUAUACAGUAGAAUAGCAUAAAUGGUUCUCUUUUAAAAAUCUUACUAUCUUAAAGUGCAUCUGUAUGUUUUGGGAAAAGAAUAAACCUUGAGACAACAAGGACUGCUUCUGCACAUUGUGUUGCACAUUUAAUGGGUCCUGAAAUUACGCCUUGAAAUCAGCUGGUUCAGCAAAUGAGCUGAAAAAACUUGAAUGCAGUUAAACAUGGAGAUGUGGGAAAAAGGUAAGGUAAAAGAGGGGAGGAAUAGACAUCUGAGGCAGAAAGAAGGAGGACUGUAGAAAUAAGAGAAGGUAGGGUGGGAAAACAGCCUUAUUAGGAAAAAAAAGGAGGAAGAAAGGCCUAAGAGAAUGUGAAACAUCUAUUUAUGAGUGUAACAAAGAAGUAAAUAAAUACAAAGGGAGAAAAAAU
ensembl:lncRNA